AUUGAACGCUGGCGGCAGGCCUAACACAUGCAAGUCGAACGAGUGGCGGACGGGUGAGUAAUGUCUGGGAAACUGCCUGAUGGAGGGGGUUAACUACUGGAAACGGUAGCCAAUACCGCAUACCAUCGGAUGUGCCCAGCUGGGAUUAGCUAGUAGGUGGGGUAACGGCUCACCUAGGCGACGAUCCCUAGCUGGUCUGAGAGGCAGACCAGCCACACUGGAACUGAGACACGGUCCAGACUCCUACGGGAGGCAGCAGUGGGGAAUAUUGCACAAUGGGCGAAAGCCUGAUGCAGCCAUGCCGCGUGUGUGAAGAAGGCCUUCGGGUUGUAAAGUACUUUCAGUUGGGAGGCGUUACCCGCAGAAGAAGCACCGGCUAACUCCGUGCCAGCAGCCGCGGUAAUAC
rnacentral:rRNA from 1 species